UACGUAGGGUGCGAGCGUUUGUCCGGAAUUAUUGGGCGUAAAGGGCUCGUAGGCGGUUUGUCACGUCGGAUGUGAAACCCCGGGGCUUAACUCCGGGCCUGCAUUCGAUACGGGCUGACUAGAGUUCGGCAGGGGAGACUGGAAUUCCUGGUGUAGCGGUGAAAUGACGCAGAUAUCAGGAGGAACACCGGUGGCGAAGGCGGGUCUCUGGGCCGAUACUGACGCUGAGGAGCGAAAGCGUGGGGAGCGAACAGG
rnacentral:rRNA from 1 species